AGUGAACGCUGGCGGUAGGCCUAACACGUGCAAGUCGAACGGCAGCACAGUAAGAGCUUGCUCUUACGGGUGGCGAGUGGCGGACGGGUGAGGAAUACAUCGGAAUCUACUUUUUCGUGGGGGAUAACGUAGGGAAACUUACGCUAAUACCGCAUACGACCUACGGGUGAAAGCAGGGGAUCUUCGGGCCUUGCGCGAUUGAAUGAGCCGAUGUCGGAUUAGCUAGUUGGCGGGGUAAAGGCCCACCAAGGCGACGAUCCGUAGCUGGUCUGAGAGGAUGGUCAGCCACACUGGAACUGAGACACGGUCCAGACUCCUACGGGAGGCAGCAGUGGGGAAUAUUGGACAAUGGGCGCAAGCCUUAUCCAGCCAUACCGCGUGGGUGAAGAAGGCCUUCGGGUUGUAAAGCCCUUUUGUUGGGAAAGAAAAGCAGCAGGUUAAUACCCCGCUGUUCUGACGGUACCCAAAGAAUAAGCACCGGCUAACUUCGUG
rnacentral:rRNA from 1 species